rnacentral:tRNA from 1 species
AGAAGUAAAUCUAUUUGAACUUCUAAUUCAAUUUUUAAUGAUAUAAAUCAUUUUACUUCUU